rnacentral:lncRNA from 1 species
CUGAGGUUUCUGGAAAGGACCCACCUAUUUGGGUCAUAAUUCUUCACUGUUUUCACAGGAAUCAAAGAUUGGCUGCAGGAAGUGACAGCACCUGUCUCCUGACUGCAGCCCACGAAGCACCUGCUGACCUGAAACCUUACAGACCCACUUGUGACCAGCAAAUGUUGUCCAGGGUUUCUUCUGGGAAGGAAGUAGAGGAAGAGGACCCUGGAGGAGGUGGUGUAAUGGUAACUUGAACUGCCAACUGAUAACAAAGCAGGGACCUUUCAAAGAGGUUUUGAAGUUUGCCAACCUACCAUAAGGCUCAUCUUCCCCUCCCUGCUCAGUGCCACCAGAUUUUAUCUUCUGCCCUUGAAUCACAAGACCUUUUCCUCC